rnacentral:rRNA from 1 species
UCUGUCUGAAGAUUGCAGUCUGAGCAUAAACUAAAUAAGUUAAAACUUUCAACAACGGAUCUCUUGGUUCCGGCAUCGAUGAAGAACGCAGCGAAAUGCGAUAACUAAUGUGAAUUGCAGAAUUCAGUGAAUCAUCGAGUCUUUGAACGCACAUUGCGCCCCCUGGUAUUCCGGGGGGCAUGCCUGUCCGAGCGUCAUUGCUGCCCUCAAGCACGGCUUGUGUGUUGGGCUCCGUCCCCCCGGGGACGGGUCCGAAAGGCAGCGGCGGCACCGAGUCCGGUCCUCGAGCGUAUGGGGCUUUGUCACCCGCUCUGUAGGCCCGGCCGGCGCCAGCCGACAACCAAUCAUCCUUUUUUCAGGUUGACCUCGGAUCAGGUAGGGAUACCCGCUGAACUUAAGCAUAUCAAUAAGGCGGAG